GCCGGGCGUGGUGGCGCAUGCCUGUAAUCCCAGCUACUCAGGAGGCUGAGGCAGGAGAAUCACUUGAACCCAGGAGGCGAAGAUUGCAGUGAGCUGAGAUCGUGCCACUGCACUCUAGCCUGGGUGACAGAGCGAGACUCUGACUCAAAAACAAAUAAAAAAAAAGUGGCCGAGCUCAGCGGCUCAAGCCUGUAAUCCCAGCACUUUGGAAGGCUGAGGUGGGUGGAUCACCUGAGGUCAGGAGUUCGAGACCAGCCUGGCUAACAUGGUGAAAGCCUGUCUCU
rnacentral:sRNA from 1 species